rnacentral:rRNA from 1 species
UACGGGGGGGGCAAGCGUUGUUCGGAAUUACUGGGCGUAAAGGGCUCGUAGGCGGCCAACUAAGUCAGACGUGAAAUCCCUCGGCUUAACCGGGGAACUGCGUGUGAUACUGGAUGGCUUGAGUUUGGGAGAGGGAUGCGGAAUUCCAGGUGUAGCGGUGAAAUGCGUAGAUAUCUGGAGGAACACCGGUGGCGAAGGCGGCAUCCUGGACCAAUACUGACGCUGAGGAGCGAAAGCUAGGGGAGCAAACGGG